GAUCAUGGCUCAGGAUGAACGCUAGCGACAGGCUUAACACACGCAAGUCGAGGGGCAGCACAGGUAGCAAUACCGGGUGGCGACCGGCGCACGGGUGAGUAACGCGUAUGCAACUUGCCUAUCAGAGGGGGAUAACCCGGCGAAAGUCGGACUAAUACCGCAUGAAGCAGGGGCCCCGCAUGGGGGUAUUUGCUAAAGAUUCAUCGCUGAUAGAUAGGCAUGCGUUCCAUUAGG
rnacentral:rRNA from 1 species